CUCCUCAGUCUCAGUGGGCUGGAGGCAGCAGGUGAAAGGUGUGUCAGAGUCAGGCAGCCUCAUGCUACAGAACUUAUCUCCACAUCAUGGGGGAAUAUACACCUGUGAACUGAGUGAUGCUGAGGAGACACUGAUAACCAACACCUUUCUGAGGAUACAGAGUCCAGAUAAGGAUUUAAUCAUUCAUGGAGUCAUUCCACACUUGGUGGGUGCAGCUGUUUUGGUCUCAGCAGCAGUUGUUCUUGUCUGGUACCUUGAAAAGAAAAGAGACUCAAAAUAUCUCCCAAGUAUAUGCGGAAACGGGUACAGACAGUCAAACUACAAUCAAAUAUCAACGUUGAUUCCUCUCACCAGCUGCUGAGCUGCUGCGGCUCUGUCCACCGUCGUCCUCCACUGAAGACACGACAUCCAGGAAAACACUGGCCCACAGUGGAGCGACCUCAUCACCAACCACCCACACCUGGAGCUCAUCAACCGUGACUUACUGAAAUACAACUUUCACAACUAUCCCGAUCCAGGAGGCGCCCUCUGGUGGUGGGAGGUGGAAACACUGAAACGGCUCCAGCAACAGAAAACAACAAAAACCUUCAACCUACAAUUAAAAAUUCAACUUUAAUAUAUUUAAUUUAUUGAAAAUAAAUUUACUAAUAUUAAACAUAUCCAUAAAUGCCUC